AAUCCAGCAAGCAAGAUGAAGAGCGAAGAUUUGAAUUGGAAAUCGAACUAUUUCACGGCAAAGAAAACCAUCGACGUCCAUAAAGAUUCAGAAAUUGGAGACAGUGGAGGAACUACUCGACCUUGACGAGUUGAUAAAAACUCAACCAAGCAAGAAAGAUUUGCUGACAGCCAGGCUCUCAAAGAUUGGUGGAUAUGACUUAAAGAGCUGUUUAAGCAUCAUCAUGGACAGG